AGUUUGAUCCUGGCUCAGAUUGAACGCUGGCGGCAUGCCUUACACAUGCAAGUCGAACGGCAGCACGGAGCUUGCUCUGGUGGCGAGUGGCGAACGGGUGAGUAAUAUAUCGGAACGUACCCUGGAGUGGGGGAUAACGUAGCGAAAGUUACGCUAAUACCGCAUACGAUCUACGGAUGAAAGUGGGGGAUCGCAAGACCUCAUGCUCGUGGAGCGGCCGAUAUCUGAUUAGCUAGUUGGUAGGGUAAAAGCCUACCAAGGCAUCGAUCAGUAGCUGGUCUGAGAGGACGACCAGCCACACUGGAACUGAGACACGGUCCAGACUCCUACGGGAGGCAGCAGUGGGGAAUUUUGGACAAUGGGCGAAAGCCUGAUCCAGCAAUGCCGCGUGAGUGAAGAAGGCCUUCGGGUUGUAAAGCUCUUUUGUCAGGGAAGAAACGGUGAGGGCUAAUAUCUCUUGCUAAUGACGGUACCUGAAGAAUAAGCACCGGCUAACUACGUGCCAGCAGCCGCGGUAAUACGUAGGGUGCAAGCGUUAAUCGGAAUUACUGGGCGUAAAGCGUGCGCAGGCGG
rnacentral:rRNA from 1 species